UACGUAGGGGGCAAGCGUUGUCCGGAUUUAUUGGGCGUAGAGAGCGUGUAGGCGGCCUGACAGGUCUGCUGUGAAAACUCGAGGCUCAACCUCGAGAUGUCGGCGGAAACCGUCUGGCUAGAGUCCGGAAGAGGAGAGUGGAAUUCCUGGUGUAGCGGUGAAAUGCGCAGAUAUCAGGAAGAACACCUAUGGCGAAGGCAGCUCUCUGGGACGGUACUGACGCUGAGACGCGAAAGCGUGGGGAGCGAACAGG
rnacentral:rRNA from 1 species